GAUGAACGCUGGCGGCGUGCCUAAUACAUGCAAGUCGAGCGAACAGACGAGGAGCUUGCUCCUCUGACGUUAGCGGCGGACGGGUGAGUAACACGUGGAUCACCUACCUAUAAGACUGGGAUAACUUCGGGAAACCGGAGCUAAUCCCGGAUAAUAUCUUGAACCGCAUGGUUCAAUAGUGAAAGACGGUUUUGCUGUCACUUAUAGAUGGAUCCGCGCCGCAUUAGCUAGUUGGUAAGGUAACGGCUUACCAAGGCGACGAUGCGUAGCCGACGUGAGAGAGUGAUAGGCGACACGGGAACGGAGACACGGUCCAGACGCCUACGGGAGGCAGCAGUAGGGAACCUGCCGCAGUGGGCGAAAGCAUGACGGAGCAACGCCGCGUGAGUGACGAAGGUCUUCGGAUCGUAAAACUCUGUUAUUAGGGAAGAACAAAUGUGUAAGGAACUAUGCACGUCUUGACGGUACCUAAUCAGAAAGCCACGGCUAACUACGUG
rnacentral:rRNA from 1 species